AAGGAAGACAAAAGACUCCUUUCAAAAUAUUACUUCUCAUAAUGACGUACCUGGUCACCGAAGAACGCAGAUGGAUGUAUAAUGAAACUUAGAGAAAGGAAUGAAGUAGCUGAAGGGAUUCCCUGGAGAGUCUAGAUCCCAUGCUUCUGAGUAAUUCGAGGAGAUCAGAAUGUCAAUAGGAGCACAGGUUGGGGAAAAGUCUGCCAUAGCCCUGAUGGAGAUCUUUGAGGAACUCGAGACCGAUCCAGACCACCUUUGACUCUCUCAUACAAAACCAUGAGAUGGACGGAUGCACAUGGGGGCUCAGUGGCGAUUAUACAUAAUUCUUUGCUUAAUCUGCUGCGUGACAUCAAACUACUCUGCACUUCCCAGCAUUGUCACCCUUCCUACAGGUUGCCUGCUGCCUGUGAAGUCUCUUGUCCAGUUAGACUUGCAGAGAGCAGCCUUGAAACAUCAUCAGAUCACGUCUUCUCCAGCUUCAAAGGUGUCAGUGGCUUCCCGUACACUUGAUGUGCUCCGAACUCCAUCUCGUGACUUUUAACCAACACCCUGGCUCUUGCUCUGUGCUGGUCACCUCCAUUACUUGCUUCUUCUCCUUCACCAAUGACUCUGACAUAGCUCCAUCUUUCUAGUAACUAGGCCAUUCAACCAGAUUCAUCUCUACAAGGCAUUCUAUGUGCUCCUCACAGAACUUAGCCUCAGCUUACAGCCCUCUCCCAGCUCAUAUAUUCCUGUAGUUACCUUCCUCAAGGAAGAGCUGUUCUUGGUCAAGUCCUCCACCAAAGAACAUGUGAGAGUCUUCUCUGAGCUUCUUGUAAUUUCAGACAUCGCUUUGAAGUUUAA